AGAGUUUGAUCCUGGCUCAGAAUGAACGCUGGCGGCGUGCUUAACACAUGCAAGUCGAACGAGAACACCCUAGCUUGCUGGGGUAAGUAAAGUGGCGAACGGGUGCGUAACGCGUGGAUAAUCUUCCUCUGAAUCCGAGAUAACCUGUCGAAAGGCGGGCUAAUAGCGGGUGAUAUCGAUUUUGCUCUGGCAGAAUUGAUUAAAGGUGGCCACUGAAUCAAGCUACUGUUUAGGGAUGAGUCCACGUACCAUUAGCUAGUUGGUAGGGUAAAAGCCUACCAAGGCGACGAUGGUUAGCUGGUCUGAGAGGAUGAUCAGCCACACUGGAACUGAAACACGGUCCAGACUCCUACGGGAGGCAGCAGUGAGGAAUUUUGCGCAAUGGGGGAAACCCUGACGCAGCAACGCCGCGUGAGUGAGGAAGGCCUUCGGGUCGUAAAGCUCUGUCGAGUGGGAAGAAUGUAUCUUAUGGAAAUACAGUAAGGUAAUGACGGUACCACAGAAGGAAGCACCGGCUAACUCCGUGCCAGCAGCCGCGGUAAUACGGAGGGUGCAAGCGUUAUUCGGAAUUAUUGGGCGUAAAGGGCGCGUAGGCGGCUUUAUAAGUCAGAUGUGAAAACCCUCGGCUUAACCGAGGAAGUGCAUUUGAAACUAUAAGGCUUGAGUAUGGGAGAGGAAAGCGGAAUUCCUGGUGUAGCGGUGAAAUGCGUAGAUAUCAGGAGGAACACCUGUGGCGAAAGCGGCUUUCUGGACCAAUACUGACGCUGAGGCGCGAAGGUGUGGGGAGCAAACAGGAUUAGAUACCCUGGUAGUCCACACAGUAAAACGGUGAUCACUAGGUGUAGUGGGUAUUGACCCCUGCUGCGCCGAAGCUAACGCAUUAAGUGAUCCGCCUGGGAAGUACGAUCGCAAGGUUAAAACUCAAAGGAAUUGACGG
rnacentral:rRNA from 1 species